GUUGGUUAUAAAAAGGGUAGAGCCAGGAGCAGAAAACCUUUUCACGACUGCAGCACAUACAGGUGGACUGUGGCUUCAGCAAGCCUGCAGGGUAUGAGAACAAGCCAACGGUAAGCAUCAGUCUGUCAGAUGCAGGAGAGGAACCAUCAGAAACCAUCACGACCGUCCCGGUUUUUACUGCCACAUCCACCUUACAAAAUGUCAACCAACUCCUCCACCUCUUACUCCUUUGAUCCAGCACGCUCCUGCUGUGGCAAC